rnacentral:siRNA from 1 species
CUUCUGCCGAUGUUGCCUU